rnacentral:lncRNA from 1 species
GCAGGGCUCAUGAGAGUCCGAAGGUACCUUCAUAUCCUGUCUUGACUCAGAUCAAUCCGGUAUUCACAUGCCAGUCUAUGCCCAUGGGGCUGCUGAGAACUUGAUCCCCCUCAGUGACACUUCCCCGCCAUGGGCACUUCAAGAGUGUUUCCAGAGCCUAGGAGCCUAACAUCAGCUCCUAUCUUCAGCAACUCAAGUAGAGCCCAGACUUGAGCCAGACUAAGGCUCCUGCUUCAGGAAACCUCUGUGGACUUGUGCCCUCCCCUACCCCAGCCCCAUGGACCCAGCACCAAGGAUCAAGGAUGUGGGGCUGACAAGAUAAGAAUCUCCAGAAGGAAUUGCUGUGGAUACCGGAGCUUCCUGAGGUCAAGAGCACUGAGCACUGUGGCAUAGCUUCCCUGCUGUUGCCACCCUAGCACUCAUGGUCCAGGAACUAGCCAUAAUCCCUGAGAGAGGCUGGGAGGUAUCACUCCCCUCCAUGCAUACCUGCAGGCUAUAAGAAGGCCCAGGAACCAAGACAACCUCAGAAGAAGUGGAUGUCCUUGCUUGUAGUUGGAUCUGGGGCCUGGAAGAGAGAAGACCCAACCUCCAGCAAUCAUAACAGAACAGUGGGCACAUCUGACCUUGAGAGGCAUGAAGAAGUGGCCCCCACUUGACAGGGCACCUAUGUCUGGCAGAUAUUUGGUGGUGCUCACAAGCAGACCAACACAAGCACGGCAUAGCCAGGAUCACUGCUGAAUUCAGGUUCUCCUGCAUACCAUGGGUGCUUGCCACUCGUACAAAGUCACCAUUACAGUUUCCCGCCCACACAGGUAUGGUGUACAGCUAAGAAAUAGUCUUCGUAGAUGGCCUAGUCGGCCAUCACUGGAAAGAGAGGCCCAUUGGACUUGCAAACUUUAUAUGCCCCAGUACAGG